GGCUAAAUCAGCCUGGCGUUGGUUGUCCAGGUGAAAGGAUGUAGGCAUGUAUCUUAGGCAAAUCCGGGGUACUCUAUGCUGAGAUCUGAUAGCAAGCUGUACUUGUACAGCGAAGUGGUUGAUGCCAUGCUUCCAGGAAAAGUCUCUAAGCUUCAGUUACACAGGAAUCGUACCCGAAACCGACACAGGUGGUCAGGUCGAGUAGACCAAGGCGCUUGAGAGAACUCUGCUGAAGGAACUAGGCAAAAUGGUACCGUAACUUCGGGAGAAGGUACGCUGUUGUUGGUGAUGGAACUCGCUUCCUGAGCUGACGACAGCCGCAGAAACCAGGCCGCUGCAACUGUUUAUUAAAAACAUAGCACUCUGCAAACACGAAAGUGGACGUAUAGGGUGUGAUGCCUGCCCGGUGCUGGAAGGUUAAUUGAUGGGGUUAGCGUAAGCGAAGCUCUUGAUCGAAGCCCCAGUAAACGGCGGCCGUAACUAUAACGGUCCUAAGGUAGCGAAAUUCCUUGUCGGGUAAGUUCCGACCUGCACGAAUGGCAUAAUGAUGGCGGCGCUGUCUCCAGCAGAGGCUCAGUGAAAUCGAAAUCGCUGUGAAGAUGCAGUGUACCCGCGGCUAGACGGAAAGACCCCGUGAACCUUUACUGCAGCUUGACACUGAACUUUGACCUUACUUGUGUAGGAUAGGUGGGAGGCUUUGAAGCUGGAACGCUAGUUCCAGUGGAGCCGUCCUUGAAAUACCACCCUGGUAAUGUUGAGGUUCUAACUCUGUCCCGUGAUCCGGGACGAGGACCGUGUCUGGUGGGUAGUUUGACUGGGGCGGUCUCCUCCUAAAGAGUAACGGAGGAGUACGAAGGUGCGCUCAGCGUGGUCGGAAAUCACGCGUAGAGUAUAAAGGCAAAAGCGCGCUUAACUGCGAGACCCACAAGUCGAGCAGGUACGAAAGUAGGUCUUAGUGAUCCGGUGGUUCUGUAUGGAAGGGCCAUCGCUCAACGGAUAAAAGGUACUCUGGGGAUAACAGGCUGAUACCGCCCAAGAGUUCAUAUCGACGGCGGUGUUUGGCACCUCGAUGUCGGCUCAUCUCAUCCUGGGGCUGAAGCAGGUCCCAAGGGUAUGGCUGUUCGCCAUUUAAAGAGGUACGCGAGCUGGGUUUAGAACGUCGUGAGACAGUUCGGUCCCUAUCUACCGUGGGCGCUGGAAAUUUGAGAGGAUCUGCUCCUAGUACGAGAGGACCAGAGUGGACGAACCUCUGGUGUACCGGUUGUGACGCCAGUCGCAUCGCCGGGUAGCUAUGUUCGGAAGGGAUAACCGCUGAAAGCAUCUAAGCGGGAAGCCUACCUCAAGAUAAGAUUUCCCUAGGACUUUAUGUCCUCUAAAGAGCCGUUCGAGACUAGGACGUUGAUAGGUUGGAUGUGGAAGCAUAGUGAUAUGUGAAGCUGACCAAUACUAAUUGCUCGUGAGGCUUGACUAUACAA
rnacentral:rRNA from 1 species